rnacentral:rRNA from 1 species
GGGUUGUGAGGUUAAGCGACUAAGCGUACACGGUGGAUGCCCUGGCAGUCAGAGGCGAUGAAGGACGUGCUAAUCUGCGAUAAGCGCCGGUAAGGUGAUAUGAACCGUUAUAACCGGCGAUUUCCGAAUGGGGAAACCCAGUGUGACUCGUCACACUAUCAUUAACUGAAUCCAUAGGUUAAUGAGGCGAACCGGGGGAACUGAAACAUCUAAGUACCCCGAGGAAAAGAAAUCAACCGAGAUUCCCCCAGUAGCGGCGAGCGAACGGGGAGGAGCCCAGAGCCUGAAUCAGCAUGUGUGUUAGUGGAAGCGUCUGGAAAGGCGCGCGAUACAGGGUGACAGCCCCGUACACAAAAGCGCAUGUGCUGUGAGCUCGAUGAGUAGGGCGGGACACGUGGUAUCCUGUCUGAAUAUGGGGGGACCAUCCUCCAAGGCUAAAUACUCCUGACUGACCGAUAGUGAACCAGUACCGUGAGGGAAAGGCGAAAAGAACCCCGGCGAGGGGAGUGAAAAAGAACCUGAAACCGUGUACGUACAAGCAGUGGGAGCACCCUUUGGGGUGUGACUGCGUACCUUUUGUAUAAUGGGUCAGCGACUUAUAUUCUGUAGCAAGGUUAACCGUAUAGGGGAGCCGCAGG